rnacentral:rRNA from 1 species
GGCGCAUUAGCUAGUUGGUGAGGUAACGGCUCACCAAGGCGACGAUGCGUAGCCGACCUGAGAGGGUGAUCGGCCACACUGGGACUGAGACACGGCCCAGACUCCUACGGGAGGCAGCAGUAGGGAAUCUUCCGCAAUGGACGAAAGUCUGACGGAGCAACGCCGCGUGAGUGAUGAAGGUUUUCGGAUCGUAAAGCUCUGUUGUUAGGGAAGAACAAGUGCCGUUCAAAUAGGGCGGCACCUUGACGGUACCUAACCAGAAAGCCACGGCUAACUACGUGCCAGCAGCCGCGGUAAUACGUAGGUGGCAAGCGUUGUCCGGAAUUAUUGGGCGUAAAGGGCUCGCAGGCGGUUUCUUAAGUCUGAUGUGAAAGCCCCCGGCUCAACCGGGGAGGGUCAUUGGAAACUGGGGAACUUGAGUGCAGAAGAGGAGAGUGGAAUUCCACGUGUAGCGGUGAAAUGCGUAGAGAUGUGGAGGAACACCAGUGGCGAAGGCGACUCUCUGGUCUGUAACUGACGCUGAGGAGCGAAAGCGUGGGGAGCGAACAGGAUUAGAUACCCUGGUAGUCCACGCCGUAAACGAUGAGUGCUAAGUGUUAGGGGGUUUCCGCCCCUUAGUGCUGCAGCUAACGCAUUAAGCACUCCGCCUGGGGAGUACGGUCGCAAGACUGAAACUCAAAGGAAUUGACGGGGGCCCGCACAACUCUCCUCUUC